AACAAAAUCACUCUCACUCAUAAGUUAUCAUGAUCAUCGACCCAACCGCUUAAACCUCUCAAAGCAUCUCUCACUCUCUCUCAUAGCUAAAUUCAGAAUCCAUGGAGAAGCCAGCGUCGCGUGUGCUGCUGCCUUCGCUUCUACUGGUCCUCUUCAUCUACGGCGUUGCUCCGGUGAUAUCCGACGGCUCCGAUCACCGUUACAAAGUCGGUGAUGAUGUUCCGCUUUAUGCUAAUAAAGUCGGGCCGUUUCACAAUCCGAGUGAAACAUACCGAUACUUUGAUCUACCAUUCUGUUCAUCAGCUCCGGUUAAGGAAAAGAAGGAAGCUCUUGGGGAAGUUCUCAAUGGAGAUCGGUUAGUCAGUGCACCCUACAAACUUGAAUUUUUGGGUGAGAAGAACUCUGAAGUUGCAUGCAGAAAGAGGUUGAGUAGAGAAGAUGUUGCUAAAUUUCGAGAUGUGAUCACCAAAGACUACUACUUUCAGAUGUAUUAUGAUGACUUGCCCAUCUGGGGAUUCCUGGGAAAAGUUGUAAAGGAUGGCAAAUCUGACCCAUCCGAGUAUAAAUAUUAUCUAUUCAAUCACCUACAGUUUGAGAUUUUCUACAAUAAGGACCGUGUUAUUGAAAUCAUUGUGAGAACAGACCAGAACUUCCUCGUGGACUUGACUGAGGACAAGGAAGUCGAAGUGGAUUUCACAUACACAGUUCGGUGGAAAGAAACAGAAAUUCCAUUCGAGAAGAGGAUGGAGAAAUACUCACUGGCUUCCUCAAUGCCGCAUCACUUGGAAAUCCACUGGUUCUCGAUCAUUAACUCAUGUGUCACUGUCCUUCUCUUGACUGGCUUCCUUGCAACUAUUCUCAUGAGAGUCUUGAAGAAUGAUUUUGUUAAGUAUGCACAUGAUGAAGAGGCAGCUGAUGACCAAGAGGAGACUGGCUGGAAGUUGAUCCAUGCUGAUGUAUUUAGGUUCCCAAAACACAAAUCCCUGCUGGCUGCAGCCCUUGGUUCUGGCACACAAUUGUUUACACUGGCUGUUUUCAUAUUUAUGCUUGCAUUGGUCGGUGUCUUUUAUCCCUACAACCGUGGGGCAUUGUUUACUGCAUUGGUUGUCAUAUAUGCACUCACUUCAGGAAUCGCCGGAUAUACUGCUGCUUCUUUCUAUUGCCAGCUAGAAGGAACUAAUUGGGUUAGGAAUCUUAUGCUGACUGGAAGCCUUUUCUGUGGACCUCUUUUACUAACUUUCUCCUUCCUUAAUACUGUUGCGAUUGCUUACCAAGCCACUGCAGCGUUGCCAUUCGGGACAAUUGUGGUUAUUUUCCUUAUAUGGGCACUGGUUACUUCACCAUUACUUAUAUUGGGAGGUAUCGCCGGGAAGAAUAGAAAACCCGAGUUUCAAGCUCCUUGCCGUACCACAAAAUAUCCAAGAGAAAUCCCACCAUUGCGCUGGUACCGGAGAACACUUCCGCAGAUGGCUAUGGCUGGUUUUUUGCCGUUCAGUGCCAUUUACAUCGAACUUUACUACAUUUUUGCCAGUGUUUGGGGUCACAGAAUUUACACCAUCUAUAGUAUUCUCUCUAUCGUUUUCCUUAUUCUCGUCAUAGUCACUGCUUUCAUCACAGUUGCAUUGACUUACUUCCAACUUGCUUCUGAAGACCAUGAGUGGUGGUGGAGAUCAUUGCUAUGCGGUGGAUCAACAGGCUUAUUCAUAUACGCCUACUGCUUGUAUUACUACUAUGCACGGUCAGAUAUGACAGGGUUUAUGCAGACCUCCUUCUUCUUUGGCUAUAUGGCUUGCAUCUGCUAUGGAUUCUUCCUCAUGCUCGGGGCAAUCGGAUUCCGUGCUUCGCUUUUCUUUGUCCGUCACAUUUACCGGUCCAUAAAGUGCGAGUAAAAAUUGAAGAUUACUUCACUCUCUUCAACUAUUCCACUAUAGUGAUGUAGCGGUGGUGGAUGCGGCCGAGGGCAAUCGAUCCGGUGAAGUUGUCCAUUUUUUUACUGUUUAUGAUAAUUUUUCAUUUUCUAAGUUUUUUUUUGUCUUUUUUUUGGUAUUCGGUUGUGAGGAUAUUGUCCUUGAGAACGAUAAUGAGAUAGUAGGAAAAGAACACUUAAUGUUUCACUUAGAUUUUUUCCCCAAAAAAAAGUGGUACA